rnacentral:tRNA from 1 species
GCCUGGGUGGCUCAGUCGGUUGAGUGUCUGACUUCAGCUCAGGUCAUGAUCUCACAGUUUGUGGGACAGAGUCCCACAUCUGGCU